CACGUAGGGACCAAGCGUUGUCCGGAUUCAUUGGGCGUAAAGAGCUCGUAGGCGGCUCAGUAAGUCGGGUGUGAAACCUCCAGGCUCAACCUGGAGACGCCACCCGAUACUGCUGUGGCUAGAGUCCAGUAGGGGAGCGUGGAAUUCCUGGUGUAGCGGUGAAAUGCGCUGAUAUCAGGAGGAACACCAGCGGCGAAGGCGGCGCUCUGGGCUGGAACUGACGCUGAGGAGCGAAAGCGUGGGGAGCGAACAGG
rnacentral:rRNA from 1 species